rnacentral:rRNA from 1 species
ACUGAACGCUGGCGGCAUGCCUUACACAUGCAAGUCGAACGGUAACAGGUCUUCGGAUGCUGACGAGUGGCGAACGGGUGAGUAAUACAUCGGAACGUGCCUAGUAGUGGGGGAUAACUACUCGAAAGAGUGGCUAAUACCGCAUGAGAUCUACGGAUGAAAGCAGGGGGUCGCAAGACCUUGUGCUACUAGAGCGGCCGAUUGCAGGUUAGGUAGUUGGUGGGAUAAAACCUUACCAAGCCGACGAUCUGUAGCUGGUCUGACAGGACGAUCAGCCACACUGGGACUUGGACACGGCCCAGACUCCUACGGGAGGCAGCCGUGGGGAAUUUUGGACAAUGGGCGCAAGCCUGAUCCAGCAAUGCCGCGUGCAGGAUGAAGGCCUUCGGGUUGUAAACUGCUUUUGUACGGAACGAAAAGCCCCGGGUUAAUACCCUGGGGUCAUGACGGUACCGUAAGAAUAAGCACCGGCUAACUACGUGACAGCAGCCGCAGUAA